GUUGACCUGCGGCGUUCACGGGAGUUGUUCGAUUUAGUGCCGGCGCCAUGGGGUCGGAGCUGAUCGGGCGCCUAGCCCCGCGCCUGGGCCUCGCCGAGCCCGACAUGCUGAGGAAAGCAGAGGAGUACUUGCGCCUGUCCCGGGUGAAGUGUGUCGGCCUCUCCGCACGCACCACGGAGACCAGCAGUGCAGUCAUGUGCCUGGACCUUGCAGCUUCCUGGAUGAAGUGCCCCUUGGACAGGGCUUAUUUAAUUAAACUUUCUGGUUUGAACAAGGAGACAUAUCAGAGCUGUCUUAAAUCUUUUGAGUGUUUACUGGGCCUGAAUUCAAAUAUUGGAAUAAGAGACCUAGCUGUACAGUUUAGCUGUACAGAAGCAGUGAACAUGGCUUCAAAGAUACUAAAAAGCUAUGAGUCCAGUCUUCCCCAGACACAGCAAGUGGAUCUUGACUUAUCCAGGCCACUUUUCACUUCUGCUGCACUGCUUUCAGCAUGCAAGUAGGUAUUUCAUUAAACAUUCAGAAAAGUUACCAAUUUACAAGUGGGUUUUUCAUCCCCAAGGAAUACUUCUAACUUAGUUGAUAUCAAUUCAGAGCAUAUUUUCCCCUAGAAAUAAUAUUAGGAAUAUUGGCCAAGUGACUAUAUUCCCAGUUUAUCCCAUAAUGUAGCUAACAACUUGGAACUAGUGUUGCCAGAAUUCCACUAGCCAAAUAGCAGCUGUAUACAUAUGCUGGGAAUUCUGAUUUCAGUCUGCCUUUUGUAAGAGAUGAUAUCUGUCAUUAAAACAGUCUUCACAUGUGAUUUUUCUGCUCAUAUUUUUUAAAAAGUACUGGUUGGGCCAGGCGUGGUGGCUCCCGCCUGUAAUCCCAACGCUGGGAGGCAGAGGCAGGAGGACUGCUUGAGGCAAGGAGUUCAAGACUAGCCUAGACAGCAUAAUAAGACCCCAAUCUCUUAAGAAAAAAAAAAAAAAAUUAGCUGGGUGUCAGCGCAUGCCUCCAGUCCUGGCUUCUCAUCUACUCGGGAGGCUGAAGCUGAAGGCUCACUGGAGCCUAGGAGUUCUUGGUUAUAGUGAGCUAUGGUCACGCUACUACACUGCAGCCUAGGCAACACAGCAACACUGUC
rnacentral:sRNA from 1 species